UACGGGGGGUGCGAGCGUUAAUCGGAAUUACUGGGCGUAAAGGGUCUGUAGGUGGUAUGUACUACUCAGUGUGAAAGCCCAGGGCUCAACCUUGGAACUGCAUUUGAUACUGGCAAACUAGAGUAUGGUAGAGGAAUGGGGAAUUUCCGGUGUAGCGGUGAAAUGCGUAGAUAUCGGAAGGAACACCAAUGGCGAAGGCAACAUUCUGGACCAAUACUGACACUGAGGGACGAAAGCGUGGGGAUCAAAC
rnacentral:rRNA from 1 species